CAAGGUGAAUGUAAGGAAAAUGUUUGAUGCGGAACAAGAAUUGAGAAAAUAAUAAAACAAUUGUCACAUGCAUGAAGUCUAAGAGACAUGGAGUUUGAUGGCUAAUUUUUAUUGAAAAUUUGAAUUAGCUUUAAAUAUUAUUAGUAUUU